rnacentral:rRNA from 1 species
AAGUCAUCCCCAGUUCGGACUGGGGUCUGCAACCCGACCCCACGAAGCUGGAUUCGCUAGUAAUCGCGCAUCAGCCAUGGCGCGGUGAAUACGUUCCCGGGCCUUGUACACACCGCCCGUCAAGCCACGAAANCCGGGGGGCGCCUGAAGUUCGUGACCGCAAGGAGCGACCUAGGGCAAAACUGGUGACUGGGGCUAAGUCGUAACAAGGUAGC